UACGUAGGGUGCGAGCGUUAAUCGGAAUUACUGGGCGUAAAGCGUGCGCAGGCGGCUUUGCAAGACAGAUGUGAAAUCCCCGGGCUUAACCUGGGAACUGCAUUUGUGACUGCAUGGCUGGAGUGCGGCAGAGGGGAUGGAAUUCCGCGUGUAGCAGUGAAAUGCGUAGAUAUGCGGAGGAACACCGAUGGCGAAGGCAAUCCCCGUGGGCCUGCACUGACGCUCAUGCACGAAAGCGUGGGGAGCAAACAGG
rnacentral:rRNA from 1 species